rnacentral:rRNA from 1 species
UACGUAAGUGGCGAGCGUUAUCCGGAAUUACUGGGCGUAAAGCGUGCGUAGGCGGUUUAGUGUGUGGGAAUUGAAAGCCCGGGGCUCAACUCCGGAUCCGGUUCCCAAACUGCUAGACUCGAGAGUAUCAGAGGAGAGCGGAAUUCCCGGUGUAGCGGUAAUAUGCGUAGAUAUCGGGAGGAACACCAGUGGCGAAGGCGGUUCUCUGGGCCUUACCUGACGCUGAGGAGCGAAAGCGUGGGGAGCGAACAGG